GGUCAGAUGAUGAGAGUAUAACUGCAACAAUAUGAUCCACGAUCUGAUUCUUAGUAUUUAAGUCUCUGAUGAUC
rfam:Setaria italica strain Yugu1 chromosome VII, whole genome shotgun sequence.